UUCGUGUAUGAUUGUUUGCUUCACUCGUGCAAUAUUUCUGAUUUUAUUUAAAAAACUAAAUUUCUUUAAUCAUAUGUCUAAAGCUGUAUAAAUUUUCUUCAUUAAGUUUUUAUUAAUACCAAUACUAGUUUUUGUGAAAACAGAAACGGGGUAUCCUAUAAGUGACCCGCGCCCGAUUUACUUUAAUGAAAAAAAUAAAUUCGCGCUUAUUUAAUAUCUUCAUGAGACAAACUAUUAAAUUUAUAAGCUGUGUUAAAGUGUGAUAAAAUUGCGCGCAAAUGCAAAACGUCCUCGGGAAAAUAUCGAUGUGCGGUUCGGACCCGGAGUUGUGUGUUCGGUGGGACUAUGUUAUUCCUCAGUGCCUUAGCAAUCGGAGUGAUAACAAGCCUUCAGAAUGGUACGGUGGAGCUGACGGCAACGGACAGUGACAUAGCAUCAACGACGACAGAUAUGGGCUUGAUAGAGACCUCGAGGGUACCUGAUAGCGGCGAUUUUGUAAACGUGACCAUUCAAGAACGGCCCUCGAUGUGGGACUUGUAUUUGAACCACUGCCCGCGUUGGAGGCCCAUAAACCAUAUAUUUUUCCAAGUAUCAAAUGUGUUCUUCUUGCUCUCAUUUUUGGCACCCCACACUCCUAGUGGCCUCAUUUGGUUACGUGUUGCCCUUAUCCUAGGCUGCACAUUCUCGGGCUUGUGGGCUUGGAGUAUAGAAUGCUAUUUGGAUGCUGUGCUGUGGAAUAGUGCUUUCAUCAUUAUUAAUUUUGUGUACUUUGCUGUUCAGUUUUAUUUGAUGAGGCCUAUCAAGUUUCACAAGGAGAUUGAAGAGGUAUAUGUAGCCCUCUUCAAGCCGCUGAGGGUGUCGCGAAGACAGUUCCGACGUGUUCUGAUGUGCAUGCGCAAUGUCAGGCAUCUCAAGUGUCAUGAGCUGUACGCCCAUGAGAAAGUCACGAAGGUGGACAGUCUGUCACUCGUGCUAAGUGGAAAGUUGGUAGUGUCACAGAAUCAACGCGCACUGCAUAUAGUGUUUCCACAUCACUUCCUAGACUCACCGGAGUGGUUCGGAGUUUCCACUGACGAGUUCUUUCAGGUCUCAAUAAUGGCGAUGGAGGAAUCACGUGUGUUGGUGUGGCACCGGGACAAGUUAAAACUGUCGAUAAUGUCUGACGCGUUUCUGCAGGCUGUGUUCGACCACAUCCUUGGUAGAGACGUCGUUCACAAGCUCAUGCAGGUGAGCGAAACAAUGGCUGUCAGUAACGGCCACCUGCCGAACAGUUAUGAGGAGGGCGAGGAUAAGCCAAUGCUCAUAGUCAAGAAGGCUGGCGAUGGGCCCGGAAUUACCGCAUUGCUUAAUCGACAAUUACAAGGCGAGCACGCGCCAUUGCUCCGAGCGCCGCCUGCGCCCGAGUGCUGAACUACGACUAAAUCCAUAAUCCCUUUCCCUAUGACUAAUUGUUUCAACUUUGAACUCUAUUUUGAAACCAUAAGGUUGUUUUUUCUUUGAUCAGAAGUACAUAAGCAGUCCCUAAAAAAAAGUUGAAUCAAUUUUCGUAUUGUCAAAAUUUAUCCGUCCCUUUAUAAUUAACGAAUUUAUUUUAUACGGUGUAUUAACGCUCAAUUGGUAUUAACAUUUAAUAUAGAAACCGAUUCAUUUGAUUUGAAUUUUGAUAUUAUCAAAAAUUAUUAUCUAUGUCAAAUAAGGAAUCGGUUUCAAAAGUAUAUACAUGUUCAAUAUAUCAUAUUUGCAUUAUACUAUCACUCCUGUGUCCUUAUCACAAUUUAUCAAUUUAAUGUGAUUUAUAUUUGUACGUGUUAUUUGCACAUUAACCGGGAGUUCCAAAAAUAGACUAAGUUAGCUAACUACGUUCUUAGUUUCACUUCACGUCACUUUCACGUGAUUGGUUACAUUUAUAGGCCACUAUUUUUGAUACUCUUUCCCUUAAAUCAGAGACAAAUUUAAGAGCAAAUUGACUCUUAUCAGAUUUUGACAUCUUAGAGAGUGAGUUUGCACUCUGUCUCAUUAGAAUUAAUGUUAUAUUUAACCAUGACAUAUUCACUAGUAUUAAAGUACAAUCAAUUGGUAUUAACCAGUAUUAACGCACAAUUAUUUAGUGAUUUAAGUAUUUUUAAGUGUAUGUACGAUUUCAUAUUAGACUGAUUAAUCUUAUAAAUACAGUUGAUCCGAUAGAUGGCGCUGUACCUAAUUGGAUAAAUUUUCUGACACAAACUUACCAUUUUCUACAUCCAUUAUUAAAGCUCGAAUGACAGCUUUAGAUCGGAAACCUAAUCGGCUAAAAGUUUCUCAAAACAUAUACUCACUUCGCUGGAUCUGUGACCCCAAAUGAGUCUUGGACCAAAAAACAUUUUAAUAAAAGCAUAGAUAUUUUGUAAGAAGAACAAAUGAAAGAAAUCUCGUAAAAGGUCCUCCUUCAAAACCCGUGUUGAUUAAUCAGUCUUAAAUUGCAUGUUCAUAUCAGAGUCCCUGUGCCUGUCUUAUAUUUUUGUGUGAUUUAAGUUCUUAUAAUUCACACAUGUAUAUGUAUUUAUAAGUAUUUUGGGUCGAGAUAAUCACGCUUGGCUGUCAUACAACAUCCUUAGUUCCCGCACUUUGACUUUGACAUUUGACAGUGACAGAUCGACCUAGUGUUACCAGUUUUCAACUUGCUUUUCAUAUGACUCAAGCAUGGUGUAUCUUGACCUACCACCAUAUAUAAUGUUACCUUAUUCAGUAUCUAGUAUCCUAGUUCCCAUACCGUUAUUCCUAAGCAUGUUGAAGAAUCAAGUGAAUCAGCAACAGAUCCGAACGCAUGGCGUCUUGGCAGAAUCGAGGAGACAGACCACGAAACACCAGUCUGAGGUCACGCUUUGCACCUGGCGGUUAGACCGCGCAGGCGCGACCAUCGCUAGGGCAUUUGAGACUUUAUGUUUAUUAACAUAAGGACGAAUUAACAAUGUCCUAAAUAUAGGUGAACCUGCGGCGCUACAAGUUUGUUUUGGCAACUCUAUUACCGAAGAGUGAAGGUUUAUUUUAGCGAGUCAAAGCCAAUUGUCAAAAUAUCCUUGAACGAGACUUUAAAUUAUGAAAUGAUCCGAAUUUUCUUUGUUGUCAAUAAGAAUGUUUGAUCUAAUGUCUGUUUUUAAUGUGACCUUCUAUAUUACCAAUAUUCUGACUCGGCAACUUAGACAAUUCGGGGAUUUUUAAAUUCAUUCCUUUAAGAUAACGAUUUUCGACUGUUUUGCGGUUAGCUUCAGUGUGUUUCCGUUUAAAAGAAUUGUAACUUUUCUUAUUUCUCUGUAUUUAACCUUUUGAACUAAUUAUCAAUCUAUUUGAAAAUUUAUAGUCUGAAAUUGGGACGUGACGACAGUAUAUUGGUGAUAUCUGUGAUCGUUGUUAAACACAUAUGUUUGAGUUUACGGUUCUGGCGUUGUUUUGACGUCUUAACAACAAAUAAAUAUGGAUGACAUUUCACAUGGGUCAACAAUACCCGCUUUAAUGACGUCAGAACUUGACAACAUUGGGCGUUUUGUAGACCACAGAGAAGUAUAUACAAACAUUAUACUCAUUAUAAUAACUAUACAUAUUAUAAUUUAAAUUACCUUUAUAGUUCCAAAAUUCAUGAUAAUACGCUCCGGCGCAUAUUUAAGUCACAAAAGUCGGAGUCAAAGUUAAAAAAAAAAAUUUUUUUUCGCGUUGUUGGUAAAGAUUACAUACAGAGAAAUAGUCUUCGCGUUUGAUUUAAAAAAAAUAGCUUUAAACGUUGAGCAAAUGAUCAGUAUUGGCUAGAUGUGCUUGAAUUUGUGAUUGGAACGGAUCUCUGUAGUUGUAUUGUAUUAAAUUAAGACGGUAUCGCGAAGUUUUAUAAAGAAACCCGAAUACAGCAAUCAUGUAUUGCUUACUCUUUUUACACGAUACAGUGUGAAAGAGACCAAUAUAACGAUGUAUAUUUUGUAUGCAAAUUAUUGUUUAUACCCAAUAGUAUCACGUGACUUGGUUUAUCUGUCUCUUUCUCAUUGUGUGAUGUGAAGAAGAUAGCAAUAAUUUUGAUUUUGGCGGCUUUCUUAAUCGUAUUUUAAUGUAAAAACAAUAAAUGCGGUUUAAAACGCGCUUAAUCUAUACUGAUACUCAUUUUUACAAAAUAUGACACAAAAUAAAAGAGAUUUUAGCUGGAUUGAAACACGUUUAAAAAUAUGUAUUAAAACUGGUAACGGUUAACACAGACAAACGAUGACUAAAGUUUAUUUUAUUUUUAACAUACUAAUACGUCAGAAUUUUAUAGAAAACACGAAAUAUUAUAAUUCAAAGGCGUUAAUCAUCUUCAUUUGUAGACCAACAUACUUUUAUUUAACAAAUAUUUUUGACGCGUUUUUAAAGUCCAAAUACUUAUUUUGACUAGAGGCAUUUAUUUUCAGACUUCGCGAUCCAAAAUCGCAAUAUAUAUUUGUAAUGUCAUAAACAAAUAUUAUUUUGUGUAAACUUUUAUAAGUGACUGAACUGAUGUCGGUUGAUUGUAAAUAACUAUGUACAAAAGUAGGUUUUUUGGAUGUGAGUGUUAGAGAAAUAGAAAAAAAAUAUAUUUUAUUGACCAGAACUCAGUUAAAGCCAAAAAUAAUAAAGCAAAUUUAGACACAGCUAUUGGCAAGUAAAAGCCUGAUGAAAAUUAUAUAUUUUCAGAGCAGCAACAUUGUUUUAAAAACAGGACUUGGGCCCCUUACAACAUUAUCUAUAAUCUACUAUUAAGACGCUUUAUUCUUUAAAAAAAAAUUCUCUCUAUUCUAAUGUCAAACUUCAUGAUUUUUUUUUACAUAUCCUGACCAUAAUUUGACUUUACGUUAUGUUGUAAUUUGUGAGACUACGCACUGGGGACGCCUUUAAUCUUGUUUCCAGAUUUGUCGUAUUGUGGUUAAUGGGCCUACGAGCAUCUAGAUAUAACUGGUACUUGGACAUUUUGAAUUAUUUUGAACGCACAAAAUUCGUAUAUGACAUAAACGGUUGAGGGCAUAAAUGUGUUUAUAUAUAAAAUUGAGAUCAGAAGAUCAGUAAAGGGACAAUUUUUACAGUCGGUUCUAAACUUUCUUUUAAAUUAUUACAUUAAAUCGCUUAUUCAAAAGGGAUGAUAGAAAAUAAUUGACAUUCCUGAUUAUUUGUAUUAGCUUUAAACCAUUGUAAUUUAUACAGACAAGUACAAUUAUUGCCAUUACAUAAUUUUCAUAUUGAUAUUUAUUAGUUGUAUGUAACGCAAAAUUUUAUUAAACUGACUAUGUAAUAAUAAUGAUAUCAUACGCACUGCCAUUGCAAAUGUUUGUAGCUAAUUGAUUCAUAUGAAUAUGUUGGAUCUCAAUGUUUGACUAACAAUUACCUAAAUGGUUACUUAUCAAUUGUUCAAGAAUUGAAAUUAAAAAAUAGGUGAUAAUAUUGUGAAGGUCAGACAAAACACUCUUGAAUUUAUAAUUAGAAUUUAUUUAUGAAACUAUCUGUUUAAAUAAAUAUUUUGUAUGAAAUUAUAUCUGAACAUGAUUUUAUCUUGGAAAUUUUCAGCUCUUGAAUCAUUGAACAAGAAAUAAAAUGCCAGAUGUGCUAAUUAAAGGUAACAAGCUAAAGGUUAAUACACUGAAGGAUUUUUAAUCUGGAUGUACACUAAAUUGAAUGGAUAAAGAUAAAAAAAAAUCGAUAAAUGUAACCUUGGUGAUUGUUCACUUCUAGAAUGCCUUAAAAAGUUGCCAUGUGUGAUAAUGUAAAUUAUGUGUGGUUGGUCAUUUGAAUCAUUGUAGCAUAUGUUAAUAAGAUAGAAAAUUAAAUUACCUUAUGAAUUGUGUAAA